CCUACGGGUGGCAGCAGUCGAGAAUCAUUCACAACGGGGGAAACCCUGAUGGUGCGACGCCGCGUGGGGGAAUGAAGGUCUUCGGAUUGUAAACCCCUGUCAUGUGGGAGCAAAUUAAAAAGAUAGUACCACAAGAGGAAGAGACGGCUAACUCUGUACCAGCAGCCGCGGUAAUACAGAGGUCUCAAGCGUUGUUCGGAAUCACUGGGCGUAAAGCGUGCGUAGGCUGUUUCGUAAGUCGUGUGUGAAAGGCGCGGGCUCAACCCGCGGACGGCACAUGAUACUGCGAGACUAGAGUAAGGGAGGGGGAACCGGAAUUCUCGGGGUAGCAGUGAAAUGCGUAGAUAUCGAGAGGAACACUCGUGGCGAAGGCGGGUUCCUGGACAUUAACUGACGCUGAGGCACGAAGGCCAGGGGAGCGAAAGGGAUUAGAUACCCGAGUAGUC
rnacentral:rRNA from 1 species